ACUCAAAUGAAUUGACGGGGGCCCGCACAAGCGGUGGAGCAUGUGGUUUAAUUCGAUGCAACGCGAAGAACCUUACCUACCCUUGACAUGUCCGGAAUCUGAGUGAAAGCUUGGAGUGCCGAAAGGAACCGGAACACAGGUGCUGCAUGGCUGUCGUCAGCUCGUGUCGUGAGAUGUUGGGUUAAGUCCCGUAACGAGCGCAACCCCUGUAUUUAAUUGCUAACAUUAAGUUGAGUACAUUAAAUAGACUGUCGGUGAUAAACCGGAGGAAGGUGGGGAUGACGUCAAGUCCUCAUGGCCCUUAUGGGUAGGGCUACACACGUGCUACAAUGGGCAGUACAGAGGGAAGCGAAGCCGCGAGGUGAAGCAAAUCUCAGAAAGCUGUUCGUAGUCCGGAUUGGAGUCUGCAACUCGACUCUAUGAAGCUGGAAUCGCUAGUAAUCGCGGAUCAGAAUGCUGCGGUGAAUACGUUCUCGGGCCUUGUACACACCGCCCGU
rnacentral:rRNA from 1 species